CGCUUCAUGAAAUAUAAAUGCAAGAAAGACUCAGGGAGCUCAAUAAAAACCUUCCACCCAUCAGCCUAGGAGGAGAAGAGCCACGUAAGCAACUACAGAAAAUGGCUUGGGGAGUCCCGACAGCAGUCUACCUUUUAUUCAAUGCAAUGGCAGCCUUGGCUAAAGAGGCAGUCGUGACUGUAACGCCUCCAAUCACAGCCCAGCAAAGUAACUGGACAGUUAACAAAACAGCAGCUGACUUUAGAGAAGGACUCAUGGCCUUGAAGUUCUCCCACCCUUGCCUGGAAGAGCAUGAUAGUUACUGCAUCAAUGGUGUUUGCCUAUUCCACCAUGAGUUAGAGAAAGUCAUCUGCAGGUGUUUCACUGGUUAUACUGGAGAAAGGUGUGAACACUUGACCUUAACUUCAUAUGCUGUGGAUUCUUAUGAAAAAUACAUUGCAAUUGGGAUUGGUGUUGGAUUGCUAUUAAGUGGUUUUCUUGCUAUUUUUUACUGCUACAUAAGAAAAAGACAUUUUUAGCCUGAAGAACUAUUUUGGUGUCAGAGAUUGCUACUGCAUGACUGAACUCAGAUGAAAGAAAUGGAAAUUUCCAUGUGUCAAGAGGAGAGGACAACUUCAGGGUCGUGGAGAAGCUGAUGCCAUAAUGUGGAGAAAGUGAUGUUAUUCCCAUUCAAGCCAAUGGAAUCAACACAAUGAAUUUAAUACUAAGAAUGAUAGAGGGAUGAAAAUCAGUGCCUAUAAAGCAGUCUCCAUUUCUCUGUGAGGAAUACCUCGAAGAUCCCCAGUGGAUGCCUGAAGAUCCAAGCAUUCAUUGUCACCAGUCCCUCCUGAAUCAAAGAUGUACAUGCGCAAGAAUUUCAACAGUGAAAAGUAGAACUAGUAACUUAGUUAAUCCAUAGAACUGGGUGAUGUCUCUCAUCUUAAUAACAUUGCAGAUGUGUUUAUCUUUCAGGUUUCAGUAUGACUCUAGCAUUAGUUUUCAGAAAUGAACAUCCAAAUGCGAUCAGGUGUUUUUUUAUGUGGGACAGCAGGGUGUUGUGUUGGUUGAGCUCCUAAUUGCUGGGUUGCUCCUAGGAGGAGUCCCUUGGCUUCUUAAAUUGUAAGGUGUUUUCCCAAAAUGAAUCAUCUCAUCUUUGACCACUUUUUCUAAGCAUGAUUCAAGGUGUUAUAUAGUCUUCAACAAACAGCAUGUUCUUGAGGUUGUGUAAAGUCCUUUUUUUCUGCCCAGCAGGCUUUCGGUUGUCUCCACCAAACGCAUCAUACAACAUAGUGACUUGAGAGCAGAACCAGCCACUACUGAGAAGUAAUGUGCAGUGGACAGGUUAAUGGGCAAUUCUUCCUUACCAUGGACCCUAAACUUGAAUCAUAGGCUUCUAACAAAACUGGUCCAGGAGCUAGUUGAGAUAAUAUGCACAUUGUUAAUGUAAUAGGAAUCAGAGUUGCAAUAAUGAAUAACAUUGUAAUGUCUGAUCACUACCAGAUAUAGGACAACCCAGUGUAAUUUAUUUCUCUUUCUAUAAUUUAUAAUAUGAAAUUCAGCUUUGGUAAUCAAUAAAUUCAUUCAACAACUAUGUAUAUAGUGCCUAUGAUACAACUAAAUUAGAGACAGUUGGAUAUCCAAACACAAGUAAGGUAUAGUUUGGUUUCAAAAAAAUUAGAAUCUGGCAUUGAAAAGAAUACAAUGUUUAAAUUGCCAUUAACAAGGACAACAGAUAGUACUGCACUACUUAUAUGUUCCAGGCCAUGUUCUAAAUUUUUUUUAACUUUAUUACUUUAUUUAAUCCUUACAACACCUCUCUUAUCAUCUAAUGUUAUAUAUGAGAAAGUUUUCUUGAAUUUACAUAAUUACUUAGUAAUAGGAUCUAUAUUCAAAUAUAGGAAGCUCAAAAAACUACUUAUUUACAGGUGUCAAUACAAAAAAUAACUAUUUUCAAUUUUUUCAACACAAAACAAAUGAAUAUGUUAAAAAGGAAUGAACAUUUUGAAGAUGGAAAAAACCACACUCAACUGUGACACCAGUACACCUUGAAGGAGAUUGGUUUGGAAAUAAAAUUUGAAAUAUAAUUAGGAUAUGCACGUGAAAAUAAAAGGUACUUCAAAAAAUGGGAAAAGGGAAUUAAAAGAUCUUUAUU